CCCCACGGCCGCCACCCGCUGGCCCCAGCGCUCACCUCGUUUCCCAGCAAGGCCGACACGCAGGCCUCAGAUGCAUCGCAGAUGGCCGUAAGGUCAUGGCCACCUUCCAGCGCGAGGACAACGGCUCCACCAGCCAGACUCAUCAGCUGCUUCGUCAUGUAGCCAAAGCCUGGAGGGGGAAAGCCCAAGUGACAGUUGUCACCCUCCCUGCCCAAAACGCUAGGGCCUCGGCACUUGCUGCUGGUACAACCCCAAAGAUCUCGUGAUGGGACAAGGGGAGAUGGUUUUGAACUAAAAGAGGGAGAUUCAGGCUGGACAAAAAGCAAUUGUUGGCCCUGAGGGUGGUGAGAGCCUGGCCCAGGUUGGCCAGAGAGGUGGUAGAUGAACCAUCCCUGGAGACAUCCCAGGCCAGGCUGGACGGGGCUCUGAGCACCCUGAGCUGCUGAAGAUGUCCCUGCUCAUGGCAUAAGGUGACAUUUGAAGGUCCCUUCAACCCAAAUUAUUCCACGAUUAUAUGUGGUGAGAGGCAAUCUCAUUACAGUGUGAUUAGCUAUAAGCCAUUUAGCCAGAGUUUCAACUCCCAAGAAACCCAAGACCUAUUUCAGUCUCUGAACAGUCACGACACAAGCACAGGACACGAGUGUCAUAAGAAUCAGAAACUGCUGCGAUGACUAAGCCAGAUACUCAAAAAAAAACCCCAAACUUACCUCAAGAGACUAUGCCUCAUUCAUAACUACUUCCAAAAGUUCUUAAGAGAAGCAAACAACGCUUGGAGUGUUUCAGAGCAGCCAGCGGCUGCCUUGGCUCCAGCUGAUGCGCGCUGUCACCGCUGUGCGGCCGCGGGAGCGGGGCCAGCUGUGCUUUGGGAGUCUGAACACUUUUCAUGCUCCCUCCGCUGGCUGUUGAGAGGUUUCUCUUCAUCUACCUCAUGGACCGUACCGCUCUGAACGGCGUUUGGGUUGUCUGCAGCUUCGUGUUGCCUUAAGGGACAGGCUGGAGUGCUUGCAAGGGGUCUAAAUACAAAGGUUUUGCUUAAAGGAUUGGAAAAACAAAUAAAAUCUUACAGCUUGAGGUGCUUACCAGAAAGGAUAAAUGCCCAACCGUGUAACAAUGAAUACGACACCAAAGAGCAUGAAGAAAGCAUCGCAUAGACGUUGGUACUUGGCAUAAUUGGCCAGCUUUGCAGCCUAAAAGAGACAAGAAACAUGAGAAUAUUAUUCCCUUUGUGAACUCGUGUAAUUACCAGGCUGUAGAGCUACAAAAACCCUUCAAGCCAUCACAUUUGCAAGGGGUUUGGAACAUUUAGGGAUUAUUCUCAGCGCUAAAGCGGUUCUGAAGAAAAGCUGACAAGGCAGGAUCAGCAGCGCAAGUUUUAUGGCAUAUUUAAUGCAGUUUAUCAGGAAUGGGAAAGGCAGCUCGCUCCUUUGAGACCACACUGGCAAAGACGGGAAAGGAAACUCACCUCUAACAGAAAAUCUGAUGCGUCGUGGAGGCACAGCACCAGAGUUCCAACCCGCACCAUGUUAUUCAUGUAAGAGAAUGUAAUGAGACCAAUUGUUGCCAAAUGAUGGACGAACAUAAUCAGGAAGUCCUGGAAAUAGGGAAAAAAUUAAUGAAGAAUCUUUGGCUGUCAAACAGUGGGGAACAUAAUUCACUUUGGUAAAGUCAGAGUACAAAAUUCAACAUAAUAAACAGUAGCAUAGAUGCUGUUAUCACUCUUUCUGCAGCUACAAGAUAUUCUGCAAUGCCUCACCUGCUAAUAUUGUACAGAAAAAAAUCCCAGGCCAAUGUUCUUUCUGAACAGUCAAUGCAAGAACUGGGCUCAUUUGCUACUUUGCACUUUGUACAACAGAAGCAAUAAACCAUGAUUUACUACGAACUGUUUUCCAACAGCAACAAUAAGCCAAACCCUGGAACGCAGUGCAAUGGAAUUGGAUUCCGGCAAUUGCGACAAGUCAUCAUUCUGCUACACACAUGAAAAACUCCUUUCAAAACAACAUUUAUUAUUGCUUUGUGUUUGUCAUUUUCUCAGCCAGCUCAGCAAGGUACUAUGUGAGCAUUUCAUUUUCAGGUUUUCUUGUAAGCUUUCUAAUUAAAUCUGCUUUUUAUGCAA